rnacentral:tRNA from 1 species
UUAUUUUGGCAGAUUAGUGUAUUUGAUUUAGAAUCAUUUUAAGUAAAAUUUAUUACAGGUAAUAU